CUUCACUCAUUCCAGUUACCUGCUGAAAGCCCUGUCCAUGCUGCCUCACUUCAGCUUGGACAGCACUUUCCAGUUUGGCUUCCUGACAACCUUCUGCAUCAAGUGGCCUGCAUUCAUCAGCAUUGUGUCUGAUUUUCAUCAGGUUCCUCUCUGAAGCCUAUUCCUCCUGGCUGUUACCCAGAAGUUGGGCAACAGUUGCUGUUCUUUCCUGUUCCUUUCCCUGCUAUUACAAGAUGUCUGGAUCCAUCUUUUGAUCUGCCACAAAUGACACCUGAGCAAAGAUGACCUGGUUGUGGUCCACAUUUCUACUUGUCAUGCAUCAGUAGUACACCAGGGCAGAACAGCCUUUAUUUGCCCCGGA